rnacentral:rRNA from 1 species
CCUACGGGCGGCAGCAGUGAGGAAUCUUGGUCAAUGGACGCAAGUCUGAACGAGCCAUGCCGCGUGCAGGAAGACGGCUCUAUGCGUUGUAAACUGCUUUUGUACGAGAGUAAACGCAGAUACGCGUCUCUGUCUGAAAGUAUCGUACGAAUACGGAUCGGCUAACUACGUGCCAGCAGCCGCGGUAAUACGGAGGAUUCAAGCGUUAUCCGGAUUUAUUGGGUUUAAAGGGUGCGUAGGCGGUCGGAUAAGUUAGAGGUGAAAUCCCGAGGCUCAACUUCGGAAUUGCAUCUGAUACUGGGCGGCUAGAGAGUAGUUGCGGUAGGCGGAAUGUAUGGUGUAGCGGUGAAAUGCUUAGAGAUCAGACAGAACACCGAUUGCGAAGGCAGCUGACCAAGCUACUUCUGACGUUGAGGCACGAAAGCGUGGGGAGCGAACAGGAUUAGAUACCCGGGUAGUC